GACAGAGGGUGCAAACGUUGUUCGGAAUUACUGGGCGUAAAGCGUGUGUAGGCGGCUUCGCAAGUCGGAUGUGAAAGCCCCGGGCUCAACCCGGGAAGUGCACUCGAUACUGCGGAGCUAGAGUGUCGGAGAGGUUGGUGGAAUUCUCGGUGUAGAGGUGAAAUUCGUAGAUAUCGAGAGGAACACCGGUGGCGAAGGCGGCUCACUGGCUCGUAACUGACGCUCAGGCGCGGCAGCGUGGGGAUCAAACAGG
rnacentral:rRNA from 1 species